GACGUAGGGCGCGAGCGUUGUCCGGAUUUACUGGGCGUAAAGAGCGCGCAGGCGGUCGUUCAAGUCGCGUGUGAAAGCCCCCCGGCUCAACUGGGGAGGGUCACGCGAUACUGAUCGACUCGAAGGCAGGAGAGGGGUAGUGGAAUUCCCCGGUGUAGUGGUGAAAUGCGUAGAUAUCGGGAGGAACACCAGUGGCGAAGGCGACUACCUGGCCUGUUCUUGACGCUGAGGCGCGAAAGCUAGGGGAGCAAACGGG
rnacentral:rRNA from 1 species